GACAGAGGGUGCAAACGUUGUUCGGAAUUACUGGGCGUAAAGCGCGUGUAGGCUGCUUCGCAAGUCGGAUGUGAAAGCCCUGGGCUCAACCCAGGAAGUGCAUUCGAAACUGCAGAGCUGGAGUCCUGGAGAGGAAGGCGGAAUUCUUGGUGUAGCGGUGAAAUGCGUAGAUAUCGGGAGGAACACCAAUGGCGAAGGCAGCUCGCUGGGACGUUACUGACGCUGAGACGCGAAAGCGUGGGGAGCAAACAGG
rnacentral:rRNA from 1 species